AUGGGAACGCGAAGAACCUUACCUAGACUUGACAUCUCCUGAAUAGUGUAGAGAUACAUGAAGCCCUUCGGGGCAGGAAGACAGGUGGUGCAUGGUUGUCGUCAGCUCGUGUCGUGAGAUGUUGGGUUAAGUCCCGCAACGAGCGCAACCCUUAUUACUAGUUGCUACCAUUAAGUUGAGCACUCUAGUGAGACUGCCCGGGUUAACCGGGAGGAAGGUGGGGAUGACGUCAAAUCAUCAUGCCCCUUAUGUCUAGGGCUACACACGUGCUACAAUGGUGGGAACAAAGAGAUGCAAUACCGCAAGGUGGAGCUAAACUCAAAACCCCAUCCCAGUUCGGAUUGUAGGCUGAAACUCGCCUACAUGAAGCUGGAGUUGCUAGUAAUCGCGAAUCAGAAUGUCGCGGUGAAUACGUUCCCGGGUCUUGUACACA
rnacentral:rRNA from 1 species